UACGUAGGGUGCAAGCGUUAAUCGGAAUUACUGGGCGUAAAGCGUGCGCAGGCGGUUCUGUAAGAUAGAUGUGAAAUCCCCGGGCUUAACCUUGGAAUUGCAUUUAUGACUGCAGGACUCGAGUUUGUCAGAGGGGGGUGGAAUUCCAGGUGUAGCAGUGAAAUGCGUAGAUAUCUGGAAGAACACCGAUGGCGAAGGCAGCCCCCUGGGACAUGACUGACGCUCAUGCACGAAAGCGUGGGGAGCAAACAGG
rnacentral:rRNA from 1 species